rnacentral:rRNA from 1 species
GACGAACGCUGGCGGCGUGCUUAAUACAUGCAAGUCGAAGGGGUUGUAGUCUUCGGACUGCAAUCACUGGCGCACGGGUGAGUAACACGUAAGUAAUCUGCCCUCGGGUCUGACAUAACUCCGGGAAACCGGAGCUAAUAGCAGAUGACAUGGGAACAUCAAAGGAUCAGCGCAAGCUGAUCUGCCCGGGGAUGAGCUUGCGUCUGAUAGCUAGUUGGCGGGGUAACGGCCCACCAAGGCGACGAUCAGUAGCCGGUCUGAGAGGAUGAUCGGCCACAUUGGGACUGAGACACGGCCCAGACUCCUACGGAGCAGCAGUAAGGAAUAUUGCGCAAUGGACGAAAGUCUGACGCAGC